GUUUGCUACAGUUCUUGCCACAAACCUUUUACCUCAGGGUCAUGAAUGGUUGUGAUGGUCUGAUAAUGGCUUACCUCACUGGAGACUGUGAUUCACCAAUAAGAGUGGGAAAGCACAAAGUUUGUGAGGGAUUUCCAUGCUGAUUUCAUUUUGGUCAGGUGUUGUGUCCCUCAUUGUGAUGGGGGAUUGUCUUAGUAAGACAGGUGAUAGAACCCACUCCAUUUCCACUCCUCCACUCCAUUUCCAAACCAAUGUAAUUGCAGCUGUGUUGUCCAUAUGGAUUGCCUGAACAAAUGGGACAACUCUUUAUAUCUUGUAAAUAUGUAUCUUCCUUAAGACUGACCCCCACCCUAGCACAGGGGUCCUUAUAUAGGCUUAUACUAGAUCUGUCCAGUAUCGUGCAGAGAUACAUUUUUUAAAUGCUAUAACCUAUUUCACUUCCACAUGUUUGUGACUGGUUUGGACACUACCGUAAUUAAACUUGGGGAAUUGAGGUCUAUCACCUUUGUAGGGCAGGCUCACUGUAUAAAAGUCUAAGACUCCCAUUUAGAAUAGACUCAAUCUGAGUAUAUUAGUUGUAUAGAAAUGAGUUUACAAUAAGGAAAUUUUCAAUUGCUAUGUAGCUAACUUCUUGACUUGUUAGUAAGCAAAAGUCUCAUUUUUAAUGGUGUCCAGAAGUUAGCAUUGCAGUGUAUAGUUUAAAAUUAUUUUGUUGCUGUUAUCAACUUGUGUACAUGAUUCAUGUAUAUAGUCUAAUAUUAGAGUUUCCUUGCCUUUGGCAAAAAAACCAAACCCAUGCUGAAUUUCCAAGUGGAAGUGAAGCUAUGUUUUCAGCAGAGACUAGAACAGCAAUUUCAUUCUUUACUGCACAAUAUACUGUUUCUAUCUACUGCUGCUUGCUUCUUCUUCAUAAGUUACCGGUAUGUCACAUUGACCCUAAAGAUCGGAAGCCAAAGCUUUUCCCCUUGAUAUUUUGGAAUCCUUUGCAAAAGGAUCUUAAGUGAUCCAAAUGUUAGCUGCAGAAGCCUCCUGCUCAGCCAUGAAUUCAUCAAUGUACGACCCUGGUUAUAGUUAAUCACAGCCUUGGUUUGCUGCCCGUAAAUUGGGAUAUAACCUACCUGCCAGUCUGCAGUACUAAACCAAUCUGGAAGUGAGUCCAACUGAAGUCAGUGGGACUUACUUUAGAGUUAACAUGCUUAGAAUUGGGAAUGGUUAAGGACACGGGUGGCGCUGUGGUCUAAACCACAGAGCCUAGGGCUUGCCGAUCAGAAGGUCGGCAGUUUGAAUCCCUGCGACAGCGUGAGCUCCUGUUGCUUGGUCCCAGCUCCUGCCAACCUAGCAGUUCAAAAGCACGUCAAAGUGCAAGUAGAUAAAUAGGUACUGCUCCAGCGGGAAGGUAAACGGCAUUUCCGUGCCCUGCUCUGGUUCACCAGAAGUGGCUUUGUCAUGCUGGCCACAUGACCCGGAAGCUGUCUGCGUACAAACACAGGCUCCCUCGGCCAGUAAAGUGAGAUGAGCACCGCAACCCCAAUGUCGUCUGCGACUGGACUUAACGGUCAGGGGUCCCUUUACCUUUUAAGGACAGAAAACAGUUUGCACUCUUGAGCAGCUAUAAAUGUUAAUAAUGCAAUCUUAUUUAUGCUGCUCUUCUUUUUAACUGCUUUUUCUCAGGCUGAAGGGGAAAAUGAGCACCACUUGUCAGAUUGUCAAAUUUGGUUCUGCUAUAGUUUGCUUUUGGGAAGUUGACCUGAAGAGGUCGCUAGAUAUACAUCCAAGAAACAGGAGUAAACUAAAAUUUCUGUGAGCAAGAAAGGAGCCCCAGCUGAUGAAGCAUCCGAGCCCCAGUGACAGAGCAUUAAAUUAACAAGCAAGUCAUUCAAGGAGUUUAAGAACCUCAGUAGAACCCUGCUGGAUCAGGCCACAGGCUCAUCCAUCCAACAGACAAGUUACCACGGGAACUAAAGAACUCUGGGAAAUGAAAACUAUUCUGGGGCAAGAUCUUCUUAAGUUGCAGGUUGAUCUGCAGAAAUCGGCUGCUGGAGCUUUUCAUGAUGUGGAGAUAAACACCUUCACCUGAUAACACCUACCGAUAAAACCACUGCUAAAGGUUUUACCACCACAGGGGUAAGUUCAAAAGCUGGCAGCUCUAAUUGCAGCCCUUAUCAACACAUCUAGAACAAGAACAGUGUAUUCCUUUGUCCUGGAUGAAGCUUAACAGUUACCUUCUCACAUCAAUGAGAUCAUAAGCAUGGGCAUGUCUAUUAUUUAUUAGGACCAUUAGAAAUGCUGGAUAAUUGAUGACCUUCACUUCACUUCAGGAGUCCCCACUUGAGACUAAAUGGUCCCACAAGAAUGUGCCCAGGUACUGGAAGUUGCUGAAACUGUGGUCCCAUUGAGGGACCUUUUCU